rnacentral:rRNA from 1 species
CCUACGGGAGGCAGCAGUGAGGCAUAUUGGUCAAUGGCCGGAAGCCUGAACCAGCCAAGCCGCGUGAAGGACGAAGGUGCCAAGCAUUGUAAACUUCUUUUGUCAAGGGACAAAAUCAGGCUCGAGAGCCUGACCGAGGGUACCUGAAGAAAAAGCAUCGGCUAACUCCGUCCCAGCAGCCGCGGUAAUACGGAGGAUGCGAGCGUUAUCGGGAUUUAUGGGGUUUAAAGGGUGCGUAGGCGGGGUGUUAAGUCAGCGGUAAAAGCCCUGGGCUCAACCCCGGCGAGCCGUUGAAACUGGCUGUCUUGAGAGGUCGAGAGGUAGGCGGAAUGCGCAGUGUAGCGGUGAAAUGCUUAGAUAUUGCGCAGAACUCCGAUUGCGAAGGCAGCAUACCGGCG